UACAGGGGGUGCAAACGUUGCUCGGAAUCAUUGGGCGUAAAGCGCACGUAGGCGGUUCGUUAUGUCGGAUGUGAAAGCCCUUGGCUUAACCGAGGAAGUGCAUCCGAAACUGGCGAGCUAGAGUACUAAAGAGGAUCGCGGAAUUCCCGGUGUAGAGGUGAAAUUCGUAGAUAUUCGCAAGAACACCAGUGGCGAAGGCGGCUGUCUGGUCCGGUUCUGACGCUGAGGCGCGAAAGCGUGGGGAGCAAACAGG
rnacentral:rRNA from 1 species